rnacentral:rRNA from 1 species
CGGGAAUUUUGGGCAAUGGGCGAAAGCCUGACCCAGCAACGCCGCGUGAGGGAUGAAGUAUUUCGGUAUGUAAACCUCGAAAGAAUGGGAAGAAUAAAUGACGGUACCAUUUAUAAGCUCCGGCUAACUACGUGCCAGCAGCCGCGGUAAUACGUAGGGAGCAAGCGUUGUUCGGAUUUACUGGGCGUAAAGGGCGCGUAGGCGGCGCGGUAAGUCACUUGUGAAAUCUCUGAGCUUAACUCAGAACGGCCAAGUGAUACUGCUGUGCUAGAGUGCGGAAGAGGCAACCGGAAUUCUUGGUGUAGCGGUGAAAUGCGUAGAUAUCAAGAGGAACACCUGAGGCGAAGGCGGGUUGCUGGGCCGACACUGACGCCGAUGCGCGAAAGCCAGGGGAGCAAACG